CAACAACUCAGAUAGUGUCAUGCAUUGCGCAUGCUCUACGCCCACCGGAUGCGGAAGAGUCCGUUGAGACAUUAACGAGCGCACGUGGAGUUACUCCUUUGGUAUACUGGACAGUAAGAAAUACAUCACAAAAUAAAGCCACAUUCCCAUGCUCUGAGAUUCUUACACCUCCUCAACAAUACAUAAUUGACAAGGAAUUCCUGUGCAUAUUGACAGUACCGCUCCUAUCUACAUUCUUUUCUGAGCUAGAUGAUGGAGAUCUUUAG
rnacentral:lncRNA from 1 species